GAUGAACGCUAGCUACAGGCUUAACACAUGCAAGUCGAGGGGCAGCGGGAUUGAAGCUUGCUUCAAUUGCCGGCGACCGGCGCACGGGUGAGUAACGCGUAUCCAACCUUCCGUACACUCAGGGAUAGCCUUUCGAAAGAAAGAUUAAUACCUGAUGGUAUCUUAAGCACACAUGUAAUUAAGAUUAAAGAUUUAUCGGUGUACGAUGGGGAUGCGUUCCAUUAGGUAGUAGGCGGGGUAACGGCCCACCUAGCCAACGAUGGAUAGGGGUUCUGAGAGGAAGGUCCCCCACAUUGGAACUGAGACACGGUCCAAACUCCUACGGGAGCAGCAGUGAGGAAUAUUGGUCAAUGGACGAGAGUCUGAACCNGCCAAGUAGCGUGAAGGAUGAAGGUCCUACGGAUUGUAAACUUCUUUUAUAAGGGAUAAACCCUCCACGUGUGGGAGCUUGUAUGUACCUUAUGAAUAAGCAUCGGCUAACUCCGUG
rnacentral:rRNA from 1 species